UUUGCAGUCCUCUCCCCAGAAAUCUAACACAAGACCUUCUAUCCCUUCUUUUUCUACCAUCCACUGGGUUUUUAAAAUAGGCAACUCACCUUCUGGCUAUUCCUCACCUUUUCUUGUCUUCAACAAUUUGCCUCCAUGAGAGGGUAAAUCCUGACAGAAGCAGCAGCAGCUGGCCUUUGGGAAUAGUAGAGAUUAAAAAAAAUAGACACAAGAAGAAUAGCAGGGGACAGCAGCAAAUGGGAACAAUUUGAGCAAAUGUUUGGGAUCUUGGGGUUCUUCAGCAACUUGGGAGCCACCCUACCAUCAAACAAAGAGAAGCAGUCACUUCAGACAGCAGAAGCUGGAAGGUGGCAGCAAGACGUUGGAAGAGAUGUCUGCAUGUGCUGUGCCCUGGGCUUCCAAAGCCAGCCUGCUGUUUUCAGGUGCAGUGGAGGAAGUGGGAGAAGACUGAAAUGCUGAUGCAGUCAGCUGUGUACAUGAAGUAGCAGGGAUUCCAUCUUGUUCUUUGCAGUAGGUAGUGAAACGCCUUGGGCUGUCCCUCCACUGGAAACGCUCUGAAUACUUUUUCUCAACCCAUGGUAGAUGCACCCAAAGAUAUGAUCUCCUAGACUUUAACAAGCUUGUUAACCAAAAAUAGCACGGUGAAGUCUGUCAAAACACUUUGCUGAAACCAAGACAAAUUAUGUCCACAACAUUUCUACAAAGCACUAAAGCUAGUAAGCCGAUUUCUGCCUUGUCUUGCUGCAUUGCAGAGAAAAUGGGGGAUUAAUUUCUAUUUUAAACAUAUUGGGUAGGAUUGGCAAUUAAUCUCGCAGCUUUGAUAGAAGACGUAUAAUGCUGAAGUAAUCUAUGAAAAGGAAUUACUUAAUUGUUUUAAGGCAUAAAUAAAGCAAUAGCUAUGUUUCAUAACUAGGAUGAAGUGCCGUACAUAUUGCAAGCAGUCCUGACAAAGCUAGGUGCCAUUAAGAUAUUGUGUUGCUGUGAGUCUUUCGGGCUGUAUGGUCAUGUUCCAGAAGCUUUCUCUCCUGGCGUUUCAACCACAUCUGUAGC
rnacentral:lncRNA from 11 species